UCCCAACAAUUUUGAUAUGCUUCAUCAUAUAAUAUACACACUACUACUGUAACUCUAAACGAAUUGAGCAAGUUCUUGUUUCUUUAAUGUUUUCCAACCUAAAUCAAAAUCAAAAUUUAAAAUCAAUGCAGCGUUUAGUUAUAAAUUUUUUUCCAGGAAAUACAUAUACACUACAAAGGAUAUAUAGAAAAUACUGUGCAUAAAGAUAAGAAUGUGUUGUAUGUACAUAAUAUGGACCCAACUUGGGAAUGUAUGAGUUUGGCCAUACCAUACAAGUCCUGCACUAAACUCCUAGCUAACCACAUACAACCAUCAGACAGAAUGGAACAUAGGCAUUCUUCCAUUCAAAAAUGAUAGUGUAAGCUUAGAAAUUAGAGUUGAGAUGAUUUGAUCAUAAAUACUGGUCCUUGACAUCUUAAAUGUAAUUUGUUUUAAGUCAAUGACGAACAUAUUGGAGCAAAUUGAAAUUAAUCCCAAGACUUGACUUCAUUAACAUGUCAGCAAUGAGCAAUGAUUGAUUAUGAUUACACAUACACUAGAAAAAGCAAAUCUUUCUCUGUCUUCUACUUUUUGUCACUUAUAUUUUGAGUGAUUAAUAGCCCAAAGGCCAAAUCACAAGAGACAUGAUAAAACAGUGCCCCACUUGAAUCCAGACUAUACUUAACGAAACUGCUUAUUUUCCAUCAUCAAAGUUAACAAUAGCUAAUCACGUAUCAAUUUCUAUAAGGUCAACUUAAAAGAAAAAAAUAAGAUGAGAUAAAAUUAGAUGGUCAAUAUCACUAUUUUAUUGGUGAGACCCAUAAAUUUUUAACAACAGGCUCGAUAAAGAUUCUCAUAAACAAAAUUUUUUUUAACAAUUUUCACAUAAAUUCGUAACUGUAGAAACUAACUGAAGAAAAGGGUACCUUGUUGAAAUGAUGAAGUUUGAGAUAGCAAGCAGCUCUGUUGCUAUGAAGAGCGAUCUUCUGUGAUUUAGUCUUAGCCAUGGAAAGCGCUUCUGUAUAAAAUACAAGCGCUUCCUCAUAACUUCCUUCCCUGUACAUCUGGUGUGCUCUCUCUAUCUUGUUUAUCGGUGCCCCCGAUGCCAUUUUCUCUCUCUGUAUCUCUCUAUUAUAGUUGUGUAUAUCUGUCUAUAUAUGUGCAAUAACAAAUCAAAAGUUCCAACAAAUUUAAACCCUAGAACACAAAGAUUCAGCUGAGCUGCAAAUGGGAUUUGAGAAUCGGAGGUAAGGUUUUUUUGACAAAUACGGUAGAUCAAGAGAAGAAUCAACAAAUUGAAUUAAAUUUUUGAAAAUUGUAUAUGAUUGUAUACAUGAUCUGGGUUUAUAUAAACUACAGAUCAGAAAUCAAAGAACAGAGGAAUUGCUCGAGGCGACACUAUCUGGAAGAAGGGGGCGAGAGUUUUGGGUGUUAAGCGGGAGCAAUGAUUGGGAGCCACUUGGCUCUGUUUUUCCUUAUGUUCAAAUUUCAUAGAUAAUGCCAAAUUCUUUUGUUGAUUGUAUAGCUGACAACAAAAUAUACAAUGACAAGGAGCAUACCCCCACAAAGGAAGCGGUUAGCAUCAAAUUUAUUUUUGGAUAAGUUGGUCAAUUGACACGCAGACGAGUAUAGUCAUUUGAAGAAAGGCCUACAAGUAGGGGUGAGCAUGGUACUAUUUGGUACGGUUUGAACACGAAAUCGCUUAGGUGCGAUUUGAAAAAUAUAAAAUCGCACAUGAAAUCAUUUGUGAUUGGUGCGGUGUGGUUUUGAACCGUGCAGUUUAGUUUCAUUUGAUACGGUUUUGGUUCCAAAACCAAUUGAAAUAACAAACCCGUAAAAUAGUUAGCAAAAUCAUUCACGCAAAACAUAUUACGCAAUGAACACAAUCAUGGAGCUAAUUUAGCAAAAUAGUACAGACAUCAACAAUUAUAUGAUUCAUUAAUACUAUGUUAUCAUAUUUGAUUUAGGAAAUACCAAACCACUCUUGAUUUGCAAAUAUAAUUGAUACUAUUUAUUCUUCAUUCAACCCUGCAAUAUUUGUCUUCUAAAAUAAAAUGAGGAGAAUAUUUUAUAGUAGAGAAUUAUAUAUACUUGUAGCAAAUUUGAGAAAAUAUGAUGAUUAUUUGGUGCUGUUUUGACUAGUAACCAAACCAAAAUCGUAAAUUUGGUUUUUCAACCCACCUAAAAUCGCCUCAUACGUCGAAACCGUUAGUGCGGUUUUAAUUGGUGCGAUUUGUGCAAUUUUUGGUGCGAUUUCGGUUCCAAUUUGAUUCAUUGCUCAGCCCUACCUACAAGUGAUAAAACUAUAAACGAGAGGAAACCCUCAAAAUUAAAUAAGCCAGUUACAAUAAAAAAAUUUUAGUGGUUUUAACAAAAGAUUUAGCUCGAGAAAGUUUAGACUUUAUAAUAUUAACAAUAUCAUUGGCAAGUUGUCUAGGUGGAAUGAGAGCAUCCUUAUGUAUCUUCAUGUUCCUUGCUUCUCAAAUCUUGUAUAAGGAUGUAGCCACUGAGAGCUAGACAAAGGAUGUUUUUAGAUAAGUUACUGCCUUGAAACUGAAUGAUUGAGUCAAUGAGACCAACCCAGUCUAUUGGAAUUGUAACACCCCAGUCCCACAUCGAAAGAUAUGGAAAAAUUUGUCUGCAUAUAAGGAAAUAAGUUACUACCAAUAAUACCUUCAAGUCAUGACCUUUUGGGAGCCUGUGGUGGGCUAAGAUGACCCAAGAAGAUACUAUUGGGUCAGUAGUUUGAGGCCUUAUUUUGAUGGAUUUGAUUCGAUUCGGACUUGGGAUUUGACCCGAGAUUUGUUUCGGACUCGGGAUUUGACCCAAGUUGUUUCAUAUGGUAUCAAAACUGACUCUCGAAAGCUCGGGUCGGGUCAUUUGAUCGGGUUGCCAGAGGUGGGGACACGAAGGCUGGUGGUAUUAUCCCACAAUGGAGAGAUGGAGGUCCGGAGGUGUGGACACGAAGCCAGCCAGUAUUAUCCCACAAUGGCUAGAGAGGCAAAGAUCUUUGGGUCCGUGUGUGUGAUCGGAUUUUGACGGGGACGUCAAAAAUUUAAGUGGGGGAGUUUGUAACACCCCAGUCCCACAUCGAAAGAUAUGGAAAAAUUUGUUUGCAUAUAAGGAAAUAAGUUACUACCAAUAGUACCUUCAAGUCAUGACCUUUUGGGAGCCUGUGGUGGGCUAAGAUGACCCAAGAAGAUACUAUUGGGUCAGUAGUUUGAGGCCUUAUUUUGAUGGAUUUGGUUCGAUUCGGACUUGAGAUUUGACCCGAGAUUUGUUCCGGACUCGGGAUUUGACCCGGGGUUGUUUCAGGAAUGUUGUGCCAAUUCCCCAAUCUGAGGGGUGCUUAUAGAAUAGUGUUAAGUAUGGACAUAAAAAAAACGAAUGGUCAAAUGUUUCGUUGUGAUUUUGGCAUAGAGGACAUAAAGCAAGCACAUUUGAUGUGUAUUGCAUUGUAAUGUCAUUAGUAUGGUCUUUUAAGCAAAACAUGCCACACGAUCAGAUGAAAGAAAAUUUGGGAACAUAUAGUUUAUGCCAAAGAAUGUGAUACCAAUUAACCUGAGGUUUAUGAGACAGAAUGCAGUCCAAAAUGGUGGAAGUCAUGAUGUUUGAGAUGCUCAAUGAGUUCCAAGUAAUAUAAUCAUCAAUGUUGGGAUGAAUUGGAACAUCUUCAAGUCUCCUUUGAAGUAGGACCAUCUCAUGGUGGCGACCGAGGGAGAACCCAUUACAUAUUCUGAAUUGCCUCGCUGACAAAGGUAGUACGAGAAAGCCAAGAAGUAGAUAGUAAGGUGGGGCUGAAAUUGAUUGACUCCCCCUACAACCAAAGGUCAUACUAGAAUGAUGUGUGAUUUCCUCGACCAACAUGAUAAGUUAUGAAUUACAAAGCACUGGGACGUAAUUUAAGGACUUGUUUCCAUAUCUAGGAGCAGUCACAACUCACAAGGUAUGGGAAUCUGCAAAAAAAAUUACUCUUAAGCACAGAAGCUUUAAUCCAGUUAACCCAGUAAGAUGAUUGUUGAAAUUUGAUUAUGUUAAUAAAAUGGGUCAUUAUGAGAUCUUUGUUCCAAUCCAAAAUAUUUUUUAUACCAAGUCCACUUUCAUUGACUAGAAGGGAGAUAUUGUGCCAAGCCACUUUUGCACCACACUUAGCAAGGGAUGGACCCUUCCAAAGAAAUCUGUUAAGGAUAGAUUGGAUGGAUCCGCCGAUAGUUUUGGGAAGUAUAAAGUGCCUGCUCCAGUAUGAUUGAAUCGAGAAUAGUAUAGAUUGUUAUUUUCUAAAGGCACACUAUAAAUCUAGAAGGGGUCGAAUAGAUCUUUAAAAUUCUUUCAUAAUUACUUAUUUGAGAGUUACUAAAUAAUUAAUUAAUCAAGAUUAUAUAUACGCAGUGGAAUAUAAGUUUGGAAAAAAAUACCCUUAAAGAUUUUCUCAGAGAUCUCAGUUCUUAAAUAAAGUUAUAUGAAUGAUCAAUCACAUAGUAGAUAUAGUAGUUAUAGAUUGCAGAACAUAAAGUGCAGAAUGUAAAAGAUGCAAGAGGUUUUAAGUGGUUCAGAUACUAAACAACUCAUACUCCACUCUUCUACUCAACAAGUAUGAUAUCAACUAAGGAUAUAGGCCUAGCAGACCAUUUACAUAUGAAUCCCUAAGAUUCCUUCGAGUCACAAAGUCUCGGCAUUGAGUCACUUAGACUCGACAAUUCAAUCACUAAUGAAUAGGAUCCACUGACCCCAAUUCAAUCCUUAAGAUUAGGAUCCAUCGACCCCAUUUUGGUCACACAGAUCAGGAUCCACUGACCCUUCUUCCUAUUUUUUUAGAAGUGUGAUUGAGGUGCUGCUAAGAUGACUUGAAUACUCUUCAUCUUAUGGUACUUUGUAGCAUUGUUGAUCAUCUUUUUGGUGCUUGCUGAAUUCUUAUUGAAGCUUGAUUUCUUCUGAUUAUCAACAACUACUCAUGAUCAAUGUUGAUGUGUUGUCUAGCUAUUCACUUAAAGCUAUUUUACUUUUAUGCUUGGCAACAUUAAACACUCUCAUAAUCAUAGACUUGUGCUCUAUGUCUUUAGCUGGUUGAUUCUAAGUGUUCCUGAUGAAACGUAUAGUGGUGCCUUGAGAUUUAGCUUAUGCUCUACCACUCUUAUGUUAUCUACAUCAACAACAUGGCUUCUUCAUAUUUGGGCCUUCAGCUCUGCCAUGUCUUCCACUUUCUUGGCUCUACGGCUUUGGCUCAUUUGCUUUUGAGCUUUCUAGCUCUUUUGUCUUUGGCUCUGCGGCACUGACCUUUUCAUGUACUCAUCUGCUUCGUGUGAUCUGAUGAGAUGCUACCAAGAUUAACUUUAAUCUCAUUCUCUUUUGGACUUGGCAGCUUUUGGACAUCUCUCAGUUUGUAGAGUUGACCGUACUCUACAUUUUCUCUUGUUUAGCCCGAUGUUCAUCUCUGAUGAUUAUUCUUCUUUUGUAUUAAUGUUCAGUGCUCAUCAUCAUCUUUUAUCUUUUGAAUAAUGUUGUCUUUUAUACACUACAAGAAAAUUGGCUAAUUCCGACGGAUAUAUUGUCGACAGAAAUAAUUCAGUCGGUCUUAGAGUAUUCCCGAUGCAAUAUUAUGUCGGAACUAAUUCUCUCAGAAAUAACAUAAACACGACCGAAUUCGGUCAAAAAUAUGUGCGAGUAAAGGUGCCAAAAAAGCCCGCCAGCGCGAAUUAUUUUCUUGACGGAAUAUUAGUAUUUUCGACAGAAUGUUCGUCGAAUUUAACGUAUCCUUGACAGAUAUAAUUUUGACAAAAUUCCGUCAAAAAUAGUUAAAUAGAAACAGAUCUACAGAUUCAUUUCAGACGCUGCUCUCUGUCUCUCUAUCUAUCUCUCUCUUUCAGCCGCCCUCUCGCCUUCUCAACUGAACCUUCUCUGCCCUGCCACCAACACACCACCGGCGACCACCACAAGCCUUCUCUGCCCUGCCACCAGCACACCGCCGUCGACCACCACAUCGCCGGGGCUAGCUUACCGGCCCUCCGAUUCUCUCUUUCCCUCCUUAUUUCUCCUCUUGUAAUUCAAGGUACAUAUUGAAAUUCCUAAUUUUUUUAGCUAGGGUUAAUAUAUAUAUGCUACUGAUUUUGACUGGAAUUGGUUUAAAGUUACAAUUGCAUCUGAUUUGGUUAUAGGGUUAAUAUAUAUCAUAAUCUGGAGUUAUAGGGUUAAUAUAUAUCAUAAUUUUGGUAAGUUUCGUAGUAUAAUUUGGGGUCAAUACAAUUGCAUUUGAUUUGGUUCUAAUUUGGGGUCAACAGUCUAAUUUGGUUCUGUUACAGUGAAUUUGAUGUAUCUGAAUUUGGUCCAGUUAUUAUAUAUAUUAAUUUGGUUCAAUUUGGUUAUAAUAUAUCAUUUUUAUGCCUUUUGCUGCUAUAUGAAGUGAAAUGCAGUGUGAUAAACUUAUAAUUUGUAGUGUUCUGAUUUCUGCCUUUUCUAGCAUUGUGAAUCAAUUGAAGACUUCUUUUAUUUUGGUGUUGAAUAUUAAUUCCGACGGAAUUUCCGACUGAAUUUCUAUGGAAGUUAUAGAUGGUAAUAAAUAAAUAUUUAAUUAACUAUAUAAAAGACAAUUAGGACUUAGUUUGCUACUAAAACUAUGUAGUAAUACUAGAAAAAUUAAAUAAAUUAAUACAAAAAAAUACUAGGAGAUUUAAAUAACUUUAAUAAAUUAUAUAAUAUAAUAUAAUAUAAUAAACUUUAAAAUAAAAUAUAUUUAAUAACAUCAAAUAAAUUUAAUAAAAUAAAAUAAAAUAAAUUUAUUAUUUAAUAUAAUAUAAUUAAAAAUAAAAUAAAAUAAAUUUAAUUUAAUACAAUAAAAUAAAUUUACUUUAUUAUUUAAUAUAAUAUAAUAAAAAAUUAAAUUAAAUAAAUAAAUCUAAAUAAAUAAAUAAAUAAAUUUAAUUUAAUUUAACUAACUUAAUUUUAAAUUAAAUGAAAUUAAAGUAAAACAUAUAAAGUAAAAUAAAUUAAAAUAAAAUACCUUAAAAUACAUAAAUAAAUAAAAGUAUAUUAAUAAAUUAAAUUUAAUAAUAAACUAGAAUAAAUUAAAAUUUUUAAAUUUAAUUUAAUAUCAUUAAAUGUAAAUUAAUUAAUUUAAAUAAUAUAAUAUAAUAAAAAAAUAAAAUAAAAUAAAAUAAAAUAAAAUAAAAUAAAAUAAAAUAAAAUAUAGUAAAAUAAAAUAAAAUACAAUAAUUAUCUUAAACUAAGUAGCAUUUGCUUAGUUUUCCAUUACAUAAAAAAUAUCGUGAAUUAAAUAAAAUCAAAGCUAAUAAAUUAAAUAAACAUAAAUUAAAAUAACAAAAUAUAUUUGAAAUAAAUUUACAUAACAUAAAAUAAUAUACUAAGUAUAAUUUGCUUAGUUUUCUACAAUUAAUAGUAACUGAAAUAAUAAGUUGUCUAAAUAUUCAAUAAAUAAAAUAAAAUACAUGUUGACUGGGUAGCAUUUACCUAAUUUUUCAUUGAUAAAAUAAACUAAGUACCAUUUGCUUAGUUUGUCACAAUUUUCAAACAUAAUAACAUAUAAAUUAAAUUAACUAUAAUAUAAUACCAUAUAAAUUAAAUGAAGCACUUCCUUGUAUGCAGGGUUCGACAUAGCAGUUGCAGCUAAUAGUACUCCAACCGGUUCCUCGGCAACAAUUAAAAAAAAAUGGUCAUAGUUCAUGUUUGUGUCAUAUACUCGAAUAAUAAAGUUAAUUGAAUUAUUGCGGACAUUCCUCACUGUUCCAUCAUAACAGAUGACAACAUACUGAAGGAGUGCCAUUAAGUUGCUGAACAAAGUUCUAGGUUAAGCAACCCUCUAGAUGAGCGAACGAUCACUUCUCUACUAGGAAUGAAUCAUUGCCUGAUAUGGGUCCAAUCCAUGACCCCUGUAGAGUGGAGAUAUAUACUAGGUAAACUAAAUACAUGCAUGUACCACAUUCAUGAUUAUUCUUGAUCUAAUUGGGUAUUUUCUUUAAUUAAAGAUGUCAGACGACCGGAGUUGGAUGUACCGUAGAAUUAAGAUUGAUGGGAGGGGAUUAGUUGUUGCGUACCGUGAAGGGGUGUCCAAUUUUAUGAACAAAGCAAUAGAACAUGUUGAUGAUCCGAACGGAAAGAUGAGAUGCCCGUGUUUCAAGUGUAAGAACGUGAUAUGGAAGACUGCCGAUGAAGUUAAAUUUGACUUAUAUUCACGUAAGUUUGUGGAUGGGUAUUCGGUAUGGAUUCAUCACGGGGAAUCAGCUGAGUUUAGAGAACGGACAGAUAGUACUGUAGACCAAUCGGUUCACGGGGAUUCACAAUCAGAUAACUGUGACGUCGUGCAAAUGUUGGUUGAUGCGUAUGGCCCUAACAAUAUUGGCUGGGCUGAAAACGAGCAUACGUCAAGCAGUGCUCAGCAAAAGCCAAAUGAUUCAACAACUGCUUUCUACAAGUUGCUAUCUGAAUUGGGUGUUCCAUUAUAUCCUGGAAAUGACAAGCACACCAGACUUUCUACAGUUAUGAAGCUUUUACAUUUUAAGAAUGAGCAUGACUGCAGUGAGAGAGGAUUCAAUGAUUUACUUGAUAUUCUCAGCGAGUUCUUACCUAGGAAUAAUACUAUGCCCGCGAAUUACUAUGAGGUGAAGAAGAUGGUUAAGGGGUUGAAUCUCGGGUAUGAGAUGAUCGAUGCGUGUGAGCAGGAUUGAUGUUAUACUAUGGGGAGGACAAAGAUAAGGUGCAGUGUGAUAUUUUCAACUCGCCAAGAUAUAAGAUCACAAAACGUGGGGGGGAAGAAGAAACAUGUUCCAAAGAAGAUUUUACGGUACUUUCCUCUUGCGCCGAGGUUGCAGUGGCUAUUCAUGUCUACGCACACUGCUCAACAUAUGAGUUGACAUAAAAACAAAGGGAUGUCGUGCCUGGUCAGCUGACUCACCUAGCUGAUGGAGAUGAAUGGAAGAAUUUUGAUGCCAAUUUUCCACAAUUUGCCAACGAAGUUAGGAAUGUCAGGCUUGGCAUGACUACAGAUGGCUUCUGUCCAUUUAAUAAUUUUAGUCUGCCUUACUCUGUUUGGCCAGUGAUUAUGGUAGCUUAUAAUCUUCCACCGUUAAUGUGCAUGAAGGAUCCGUAUCUUUUCCUGACCUUACUUAUACCGGGGGAUAAGAGUCCUACAAAAGACAUUAACGUGUACCUUAGGUCGUUAGUCGAUGAACUUAAGAUGCUGUGGAAAACAUGUGUUCAGACUCUUGAUAAAUUUGUCAGGCAGAUUUUGUGAUGAAGGCAACCUUGUUGUGGACUAUCACUGACUUUCCAGUACUAGGGAUGAUUAGUGGUUGGUCAACUCAUGGUAAGCUGUCAUGUCCAGUCUGUAUGGGGGAUGUGCAAGGCACUCAACUACGUCAUGGCCGAAAAACUAGUUUAUUUGGAACUGCUCGUAGAUUCUUGCCUGCUGAGCACAAUUAUAGAAAGAUGUCUACAUAGUUCAACAAAAAGACAGAGAAGAAGGGGGUUUUUGGUCGCUUGUCGGGCAGCAACAUAUUGGGCUGGCUAAAUGAUCUAACAUUUCUACCGCCUGGGAAGGAGCAUAGUAAGUUGAGAGCUAUAGGAUAUGGGAAAAGUCAUAACUGACACACUCGCCAAUUUAGUUUGAGUUGCUAUACUGGGUCACACUAGCACUUCGGCACUGUAUAGAUGUUAUGCAUACAGAAAAAAAUGUAUUUGAGAACUUAUUUUACGUCGUACUAGAUACGAGUGGUAAAAUAAAAUACAAUGAUAAAGCACUUAAAGACUUGGAGGAAAUUAAUAUCAGGCGGGAAUUGUGGAUCCGACCUAACAACACAAAACAUAAAGCUCCAUUUUGUCUUACCAAGCAACAGGUUGAAAACAUUUGCAAGUGGCUUAACGCAUUGAAGCUCCCAGAUGGAUAUACUUCUAACAUAUCUCGUUGUACUAAGGUUGAGCAGUUGAAAAUUACUGGGUUCAAAAGUCACGACUGUCAUGUAUUCAUGCAGAAAUUGAUGCCAAUUGCAUUUCGUGAGGUGUUACCCAGGAAUAUUAAUGAUACUUUUACCGCACUUUCAAAUUUCUUUCGGGAUAUUUGCUCAACUGUUAUAAGGUAUAGUGAUGUAGAGCAGAUGGAGAAAAACAUAGUGUUGACAAUGUGCAAGCUCGAAAUGAUCUUACCACCGGGGUUCUUCAACAGCAUGGAGCAUUUGCCUAUUCAUCUGCCAUAUGAACUUAAGCUUGGAGGACUAGUGCAAUAUCGAUGGAUGUAUCCAUUUGAGAGGUAAUAUCACAUACAUUGUGUAAUAUUUAUCGUCUUUAUAAUUAACUUAUCAGGUAAUAUCACAUACUUUCAUAUUUCAGGUAUAUACGUCGAUUAAAGCAGAAAGUUAAAAACAAAGCUCACGUAGAGGGUUCUAUUGCUGAACGCUAUACGGAGGAAGAGCUUGUCAACUUCUGCUCGUUGUACUUUAACGAUGUAGUCGCAAUGAAGCACAACUGUCUAAGUUAGAAUGAGGUCGCUGAUCCGUCUGGUCGUGCUGAUGAUGAGUUGGUUGUAUUUACUUAUCCAACUAAACCAUUUGGACAUGAGAUGAAGACUUACCUAACCGAUAAAGAUUUAAAGAUUAUCUCUACAUAUGUGCUUCUAAAUAUACCUGAAGUAUCGUCGUACAUCAAGUAUGUAUUAUUACAAGUAGAAAAUGAUUUAUUUAACCUUAAUCAACAAUUAAACAAUUGUCAUAUUAUUGUACGCAGUUCAUUCGAAUUGGAAGCGCAUGCUUCUAACCCGGGGUUGACUACUUCACAGAUGGAAGCAUUCACUAAUGAAAAUUUUCACCAGUGGUUUAAGAGAAGGGUCGAAAAAGAGAAUGCGUAUGAGCAUUUUAGAGAUAUCAUUUU
rnacentral:lncRNA from 1 species